UACAGAGGUCCCAAGCGUUGUUCGGAUUCACUGGGCGUAAAGGGCGCGUAGGUGGCGGGACAAGCGUGCGGUGAAAGCUCGGGGCUCAACCCCGCGUCGGCCGUGCGAACUGUUUUGCUUGAGCACUGUAGAGGCAGGCGGAAUUCCGGGUGUAGCGGUGGAAUGCGUAGAGAUCCGGAAGAACACCGGUGGCGAAGGCGGCCUGCUGGGCAGUAGCUGACACUGAGGCGCGACAGCGUGGGGAGCAAACAGG
rnacentral:rRNA from 1 species